CGACUAGAAUAAAAGAGAAAGCAUUAUGGAGAUGCCUGGCUCCCUGUACCCACGACCCUCCUGUCGUCACGGCAGAGCCCGCAACGGUUCCUCGGCUCCGCUGCUACGUCCUCGGGGCCUGCAGCGCAGUGACAUGCCUGGGCAGGGGACUUCCAGAGCCAAAGUCCUGCACCGUCACCCCAGACCUCUCCUGAGCAUUCAGUUUCCCGGCAUUUCCCCUUAUCCGUUUGUUGAAUGACAACAGAGAUGAGGCUGUUUCCCACGUUUCUUCUGCAGACACACACCUAGUGCACACUGGCCUAACAGGAACCUCAGGCACCCCCAGAGUUAGGCCUGGAAAGGAUUUUGGAUUCAGUCGGGUCAACGUACAGAUGGGGAAACGGGCCGUUCAUUCACGGAUUCAGCCAACACUCGCACACCCACGACGUGCCGGCUUUGGUGGUAACAGCAGUGCUGUGCUGAGGCCAGCCUCCAACUGACCCCCGACAGCUUCCCAACUGCUACCAGCACCGGGUGACACUCUAACAAAACCAAGAAGGGGCGCUCCGAGGCCCGAGGGGGCCACACGGGAAAACCCGACGGCGGUCCGUCUCCUGCGUUUUCGCUCCCGCCGGCGCUCGGGCACACGGGGGCCUGACCCGAUGAGACGGCGUCCCCGCCCUCCUGGAGCUCGGCUGCUCGGGCUCCCAAAGACCCUCGGACAAGUGACUCACCCUGGAGGCCACGAGCUGCAGCUGCGGCACGACGGCCGUGUGGACGAGGUUCCCGUUCACCACCAGGCGGAUCUCCAUGGAGUCGGUGGUGAAGGCCAGGAGCCAGAUCUCAUCCAUCACCGAAGCCUGACUAGAUCCGCCAGUAUCCGGAUGGGGUCCUCUGUUCUCAAGACUCUAGAACGUUUGCCUACCGUCACAUCCUUGGCCUUGGAGGAAAACAGCACUGACUCGAACAUUCUUGGCUCUGAUCCGACUCUCACCAGGCAGAUGCCCGGCUGCGGAUCCCGCACCCCAGAAGGGAAGCACCACCUCUCACGCCCUGAUGUUUCAGGGGCAGGCAAAGUACCCGACUUUCUGGGACUCUUGGUUUUCGAGCUCUAAAAUACGUUAAGCACGGCGCGGAAUGCCUUGGGCUUCUCCAAGUCAGUCAGUGUUUUAAGGCUGGAGACCUCGCGCUCAAAUUGUAGGAAAAGGAAACCGAAGCCCAGAAAUGAAAUGAUACUGAAAGAUACCCAAGUCCUGAAAAUCGGGAUUUCGUUGAUCUCAAAUGCUCCCAUGCUCCCAGCUGGGAGGCACAGUGGAUGGCAACAGUCCCAAAGGGGGAACAGAAAGGAAAACAAUUGAAAAAGGACAAGAACACUCUGAGCACUCCUCAUACUCACAUAACUCAUGGCAGUCCAGCAGCAAGCCAGUAAGUUGGCUGCCACGGGACCGAACAGAUCAGACGGGUCCAC